AAAUGACGUGUCAACUGCCGCCUUCCCGGAUUAGGGUUUUCCACGGAGAGGCGCAGCACCGGAAGCCAGCCGCCUUCCCCGUCGAGGCGCAUCAAAGAUGCCGAAGCAGAUUCACGAGAUUAAGGAUUUCCUUCUCACCGCGAGAAGGAAGGAUGCACGGUCGGUGAGGAUAAAGAGGAGAAAGGAUGUGGUCAAGUUCAAAGUCCGCUGUGCCAAGUACCUCUACACACUUUGCGUGUUCGACCCCGAGAAGGCAGACAAGCUGAAGCAGUCUCUUCCGCCAGGUUUAAGCAUCCAGGAAGUCUGAAGACGAAGUUUCAAUUUUGCAGUCUGUUGCUUUAGCUUUCAAGCAGAAGCAGUUUGUUUCGACAUUGAAACAAAGUAGAUGUUUGUGAUCCUUUUAAACUGAUCCAGUGUCCCGAAUCGGAAUCUUGUUUGGAUCAACGACAUGCAACUCAUGUGACAGGUCACAACGUAAUCGAUUUGGGAAGGACCCAAAAACCCGUGGAAGACACAUCAACCGAUUGCGUGCGGAGCAGAGUUAUCCAGAGUUGGUGAAGCUUGGGUAUAACAAUUGCCACCCACCACCCAUAACCCAUAAAUUCAUCGGAUUUGGUUCAACCACUGACAGUAACUUGGUAGCAAUGACGUCUUCAUGUUAGAUAUGGUGUUAGAUGUAUAGCUUAGGCUCGUCCUUCAUCUCGCUCCAGCCACCAGACCACCGAUGGAGUUCAGACGGGCAAAGCAGGCCACCGAUGCUGAGCAGCUGCUGCUGCCUCGACCGCCGAGGUCCCGCAAUGAGCUGCUGCUGCGGCAAGCCUAUCUGCGCAGCUACCAGUUCACCGUCAGGGAGAGCUUCAGCGACCGGCUGCGGAGGAACCUGAGGGAGGCCGGCGGGGUCGGGAAGGCGUUCCUUUCCGAGAUCGUCGACCAGGUGUUCGACGUGAGGCUCGGGGUGAGGGUGUUGAGGUACUUCCGGUCGAGGUUGCAACGAGCAGCGAUGAGUCCUGCGAGGUGCUUCACGCCCCGGAAAAGCUGCUACUCGGGCCAAGUGGCUUGAUUUGUUGCAGGGAAUUAGUGAUGUGGUAGGCCACCAGUGUUGGUCUUUGUGUGUAUGUGCGCGUUUCCAUGUUCUACUUUUCAGGUCAAUAUGGGUAGCGAAAUCUAUCAUUACAUAUUCAUAAUAUUUAGUGGAUA